rnacentral:rRNA from 1 species
UUCGAUUAUGGCUCAGAUUGAACGCUAUGGGAUGUUUGCCACAUGCAAGUCGAACGGCAGCACGGACUUCGGUCUGGUGGCGAGUGGCGAACGGUGAGUAAUGUAUCGGAACGUGCCUAGUAGUGGGGAUAACUACGGAAAAGGUAGCUAAUACUGCAUACGCCCUUCGGGGGAAAGCGUAAUCUUCGGCCUCGCAUUAUUAGAGCGGCCGAUAUCGGGAUUAGCUAGUUGGUGGGGUAACGGCUCACCAAGGCGACGAUCCGUAGCUGGUUUGAGACGACCAGCCACACUGGGACUUGAGACACGGCCCAGACUCUACGGGAGGCAGCAGUGGGGAAUUUUGACAAUGGGGAAACCCCGAUCCAGCCAUCCCGCGUGAUGACAUUUUUUCGGGUUGUAAAGCACUUUUGGCAGGAAGAAACGGCACGGAUAAAUACUCCCGUGCAACUGAUGGUACUCGCAGAAUAAGCACCAGUUAACUACGCGCCAGCAGCCGCGGUAAUACGUAGGGAAAAAGCGUUAGCCUGAAUCACUGGGCGCAAGCGUGCGCAGGUUCGGAAAAGAAAGAUGUGAAAUCCCAGAGCUAACUUUGGAACUGCAUUUUUAACUACCGAGCCAGGGAAGGUAAGUCAGAGGAGGGAAUUCCGCGUGUAGCAGUGAAACGCGUAGGAUAUGCGGAGGAACACCAUGGCGAAGGCAGCUCCUUGGGGAUAACACCGACGCUCAUGCACGAAAGCGUGGGGAGCAAACAGAUUAGAUACCCCGGGUAGUCCACGCCCUAAACGAUGUCAACUAGCUGUUGGGGCCUUGGCCUGGUAGCGCAGCUAACGCGUGAAGUUGACCGCCUGGGGAGUACGGUCGCAAGAUUAAAACCAAAGGAAUUGACGGGACCCGCCAGCGGUGGAUGAUGUGGAUUAAUUCGAUGCAACGCGAAAACCCUUACCUACCCUUGACAUGUCUGGAAUCCCGAAGAGAUUUGGGAGUGCUCGCAAGAGAACCGGAACACAGGUGCUGCAUGGCUGUCGUCAGCUCGUGUCGUGAGAUGCUGGGUUAAGUCCUGCAACGAGCGCAACCCCUUUGUCAUUAGUUGGCCGGAAAGGGCACCUAAUGAGACUGCCGGUGACAAACCGGAGGAAGGUGGGGAUGACGUCAAGUCCCUGGGCGGCCUCGGUGGUAGGGCUUCACGUCACAAUGGCGGGGACAGAGGCCGCCAACCUAUGAGGGGAGCUGACCGCGAAACCCGAUCGUAGUCCGGAUCGCAGUCUGCAACUCGACUGCGUGAAGUCGGAAUCGCUAGUAAUCGGCAGAUCAGCAUGUCGCGGUGGAAUACGUUCCCGGGUCUUGUACACACCUCGCCCGUCACACUAUGGGAGUGGGUUUUACCAGAAGUAGUUAGCCUCGUCCAAAAGGAGGGCGAUUACCACGGUAGGAUUCAUGACUGUGAAGUCGUAAUACAA